UACGUAGGGUGCGAGCGUUGUCCGGAAUUAUUGGGCGUAAAGAGCUCGUAGGCGGUUUGUUGCGUCUAUCGUGAAAACCUGCGGCUUAACUGUGGGCUUGCGGUGGAUACGGGCAGACUUGAGUUCGGUAGGGGAGACUGGAAUUCCUGGUGUAGCGGUGAAAUGCGCAGAUAUCAGGAGGAACACCGGUGGCGAAGGCGGGUCUCUGGGCCGUAACUGACGCUGAGGCACGAAAGUGUGGGGAGCAAACAGG
rnacentral:rRNA from 1 species